AGAGUAAUUUCAUCUGAAGAUGAAAAUUCACCGCAGAACCCUCUGGGGCAGCCAGCAGUACCGAUGCCACACUGUCUGGUCUUUUGGGCUCCCUCAGCACUGCUUGAGCAUAGUUCUUACCAGAACCCCGUGGCUUGCCCGUGAGGCUUGAGCCUAAAAUGGUCAGUGAGCCUGCUGUGCACUGAGUGUGCACAUCUGCACUCUAUCAGUCAUGUAUCGCACACAUUGCUGUGGAGCAGAGCACAUUUUCUGAAAUAUAAGAAUCUUGGCACCAUGAUGCAGGGAGCAGUGUCUGUCUUGCUAUUGAAUUCACAACGCCCAAGCACAGAGGACACCUGAACUUUGAAGAAGUGCGUGGACUCAUUGGACCUGGUCUGUGACAGCCACACCCCUCAGAAGGGAAACAAGGCGUUUUUCACCCUUUAGAAGCUGCAGGUCAUCACAGAAGCCCUUUCUGAACCAGACCCACCUUCCUGUGCCCAGGCUGGCUUUUUACAGAGUCCCAUUGGACUUCUAAACUGCCUAACUUCAUUUAAGUAGAAAAAAACAUUUGCUUCUUGCUAGGCUCAUGAAAACUUUCCAAUAACAAGGUUGGCUGACUUCUAAUAGCUUUGAACAUUCAGUAUUUGACUGUAGGUUCCAUACUAUUAUGUCUCUGUAAGAUUCUAAUCUCUCCUUAAUCAGACUGCACACUGCUCAGAAGGAAAAGGACAUGGUAUAUUUUUUAAAAAAUACAUUUUAAAAUUCCACCAAGAGCCAAUUUGGCAAGAGAUAAAUUAAUAGAAACUAAGAGAAUUCAUCAACCAGCAGCCAAACAUUACUGAUGCCUCUAAUAAAGGCAAGCUUGGCCCAGGCUGCUCAGGUUGGGAUGGUGUGACUGUCAACUAGCAGAUCCCGGAAACAGCAUCAACAACUUAACGUCUGACAAAACCCUGAUAGCCUGCGUGGGUCCCCUCCCCAGGACACUGUCACUCUGUGCAGAGCUGAGACUGCUCCAGAAUUUGAGCUGGAAGCUCAGGGGACAGAAGUCCUGCCAGAGCAUGUUCUAGUGGCCCUGUUCACACCCUCUGUUCAGCACAAAGGGACAGCACUGACAGCCUGUCUGUCCUUUCUCUCUUAUCCUUGCCUUACAGAUUCAGUCCUUUAGUUAGUUAUUAUGGUGGCUUGCAUGAGAAUGGCCCUCAUAGACUCAUAUAUUUGAAUUCAUUUGUCAAGGAGUAGCAUUAGGAAGUGUUGCCUUGUUGAAGCAAGUGUGUCAUGGGAGGGGGGCGGGGGUGUCAAAAGCCCAAGCCUGUUCCAGUGCCCCUUCCUCUCCUGCUACCUGAAGAUUCAGUUGUAAAACUCCCAGCUCCUUCUCUAGCACCAUGUCUGCCUUCAUGCUACCAUGCUUCCAGCCAUGCUGAUAAUGGACCUACACUCUAAAACUGUAAGCAAGAUCCAGCUACUUUCCUUUGUAAGAGAUGCCUUGGUUAUGGUACCUCUUCACAGCAAUAGAGAACUAAGACAGUUAUUUUGACAAUUU
rnacentral:lncRNA from 1 species